rnacentral:rRNA from 1 species
AGUGAACGCUGGCGGUAGGCCUAACACAUGCAAGUCGAACGGCAGCACAGUAAGAGCUUGCUCUUACGGGUGGCGAGUGGCGGACGGGUGAGGAAUACAUCGGAAUCUACUUUUUCGUGGGGGAUAACGUAGGGAAACUUACGCUAAUACCGCAUACGACCUACGGGUGAAAGCAGGGGAUCUUCGGACCUUGCGCGAUUGAAUGAGCCGAUAUCGGAUUAGCUAGUUGGCGGGGUAAAGGCCCACCAAGGCGACGAUCCGUAGCUGGUCUGAGAGGAUGGUCAGCCACACUGGAACUGAGACACGGUCCAGACUCCUACGGGAGGCAGCAGUGGGGAAUAUUGGACAAUGGGCGCAAGCCUGAUCCAGCCAUACCGCGUGGGUGAAGAAGGCCUUCGGGUUGUAAAGCCCUUUUGUUGGGAAAGAAAAGCAGCGGGUUAAUACCCCGCUGUUCUGACGGUACCCAAAGAAUAAGCACCGGCUAACUUCGUG